rnacentral:tRNA from 10 species
GCCGAUGUAGCUCAGUUGGUAGAGCAACUCCAUGGUAAGGAGUAGGUCGCCGGUUCAAAUCCGGCCAUCGGCU